CCUACGUGGUGCAGCAGUGGGGAAUAUUGGACAAUGGGCGAAAGCCUGAUCCAGCCAUGCCGCGUGUGUGAAGAAGGCCUUCGGGUUGUAAAGCACUUUCAGUGGGGAAGAAAGCCUUGGGGCUAAUACCCUCGAGGAAGGACAUCACCCACAGAAGAAGCACCGGCUAACUCCGUGCCAGCAGCCGCGGUAAUACGGAGGGUGCGAGCGUUAAUCGGAAUUACUGGGCGUAAAGCGCGCGUAGGCGGUCUGAUAAGCCGGUUGUGAAAGCCCCGGGCUCAACCUGGGAACGGCAUCCGGAACUGUCAGGCUAGAGUGCAGGAGAGGAAGGUAGAAUUCCCGGUGUAGCGGUGAAAUGCGUAGAGAUCGGGAGGAAUACCAGUGGCGAAGGCGGCCUUCUGGACUGACACUGACGCUGAGGUGCGAAAGCGUGGGUAGCAAACAGGAUUAGAUACCCGGGUAGUC
rnacentral:rRNA from 1 species